AUUGAACGCUGGCGGCAUGCCUUACACAUGCAAGUCGAACGGCAGCACGGGUGCUUGCACCUGGUGGCGAGUGGCGAACGGGUGAGUAAUACAUCGGAACAUGUCCUGUAGUGGGGAUAACCCGGCGGAAGCCGGAUUAAUACCGCAUACGGACUAACGAUGAAAACGGGGGACCUUCGGGCCUCGCGCUAAAGGGUUGGCCGAUGGCUGAUUAGCUAGUUGGUGGGGUAAAGGCCUACCAAGGCGACGAUCAGUAGCUGGUCUGAGAGGACGACCAGCCACACUGGGACUGAGACACGGCCCAGACUCCUACGGGAGGCAGCAGUGGGGAAUUUUGGACAAUGGGCGAAAGCCUGAUCCAGCAAUGCCGCGUGUGUGAAGAAGGCCUUCGGGUUGUAAAGCACUUUUGUCCGGAAAGAAAUCCUUGGCCCUAAUACGGUCGGGGGAUGACGGUACCGGAAGAAUAAGCACCGGCUAACUACGUG
rnacentral:rRNA from 1 species